ensembl:lncRNA
ACCUCCCCCCUUGCAGUUAAGGGUGUUGGGCCAUUAAUUGAAAGUUUGCUGGUUCAAAAAUCAGUGCCAGCAAGCUGGAAAAAUCUGCCGUUCUGUCCUUGAGCAAGGCCGUUAGCCCCCAACAACAACUGCUCCCUGGGCCCCAAAGACGUGGAUGUCCAUUAAGGCAGCCCCCCCACACUUCUAUGAUUCAGAGGGGUUGGGUUAAAUGCAGGAGGACACAUUUCUGUUGAAUGCAUUCAGUUGUGCAACUGACUAUGUACCCCCUUUCUCUUUUGCAGCGGAGGAGAUAAACCAGGAAACGCUCUUGCUUUUGGACGACUCAACUAUAGCCUGAAGUUAAAGAAGAACAUAAAAGCCUUACACGCAGUGAGUAUUCUGUAAACGGCACCUUUACGCACACAUGAUUACAUAGGACUGUGGACACACCAAGCGACACUCAAACCUUGAGCAGUAGCCAGGUCUUGCCGGGUACAUGUUGAAAGAUUUGUGUAUUUUGAAAACUGAAUGUUAAAAGGUGUAGCGGUUUUCUUCCUGGAAAGGAGAGGAGGACCAAAAUGCAGCGUGGUUAUUUAUAAACAUCUUUAAUGAAAGAUGAAAACGUGAACACUAUACAAAAUAAGAAACCGUGGAAAAAACCAAAACAGUCCUAACUGGUGCAAGAGACAGGAACAAUCACCCACCAGAUACCUAAAGAAUAUGGCUGCCUAAAUAUGGUUCCCAAUCAGAGACAACGAUAAACACCUGCCUCUGAUUGAGAACCACCCCAGGCAACCAUAGACUUACCUAGAACACUCAACUGAACACAACCCCAUAGACUACAAAAACCCCUAGACAAAACAAGACACAUAAAUCACCCAUGUCACACCCUGGCCUAACCAACAUAAUAAAGAAAACACAGAAUACUAAAGCCAGGGCGUGAUAAAAGGAAUGUAUGAUUAUUUGAAUAGCUUGUGGUCACAACAGAUGCAAAUGUGAGAGGGCAGCCCAGAUGACCAAGUGGCUGAACAACAACAUAUGGCUGGCAAACUAAUUUGUGGAGUACAUGAAGUAAACCAGACAGAAUGGGGCCAAGACAGUAGAGAUAGUCCGAGAGUAUCCACAUCUGCUGGAUACUCCAGGCAUGAAGCGGGCGGCGCUCAGGGGCUGUAUGUGUUUGAUUGAGAAAGUCACAAAGGAGAGACAACCAGAAAAAGCACAGCUCCCUUCAUUAUUGACGCAUUGUACUGACAUCAAAGAGCCAUUCCAGAUUGCGGUAAGGAGGACUUUUAGAGUUAUGUGUUAGCCAGACUAAUGAUUAACGGCAAUAGAAAAGUCAUUGUUUGACUGCCUUACUACAGAUUGCUCAGGACUUCUCUAUUUUAAAAACUCGGACUAAUCGGGGAAACUCAAUGAGAACUGGAUUUUGGUUUUCAAUGACUAAUCGGGGGAUUUUAGUGAUGUUCUAUAUAUAUAUGCAGGCCUCAUCCACUACCCUGAGAGCACUUGAUUCAGUCUAUCAUGUAGCCCUCAGGUUCAUUACAAAUCAAAAACGUCUAACACAUCAUUGUGAUCUCUACAGAGCUGCUGGCUGGUCAUCAUUGUCUCUGUUCUUUUUUUGUCAGGUCUGUAAAUAAAUAUAAAUUACAUUCCCAUUCUCAUUUGCUUCUACCAGUACCAAAACUCAGAACAGGUCAUGGUAGAAAUAGUUUUAGCUCCGUGGUCCUGAAAUUCUCUCCUGAACAUUUAAAAAUGUGAUUAUCUAGUUUCAUUGGUGGAGUUGAAACACUUGAUUGAUGUAUAUGUCAUAGAAGAGUGUACUUGUCUUUAGGAAAGCUGAUUUUAGUCAAGACUUUUGUGUUUUUAACGUAAUAUGUAAUUGUUGUACUGUAUGUGUGUUUAUAGUUUUGUUUAAUGUUGUGGUAGUGUAUGUAAGUUGUUUGUCUGAAAUGUUGUUCCCCCUGCUGCUAUUGGACCAGGUAUCUCUUGGAAAAGAUAUGUUAUCUCAAUGAGAACAACCUAUAUAAAUAAAGGUAAAAUAAAUAAAAUGACGAAAAAUGUAGCCUUGCCAGCCGAGAGAAGCAAGCCGAAGAUCUUCCUCUUUCGAAGUGCAGAUUCACAAGUUGACAUCGCUUUAAGACUUCUGCCAGCUAUCCUCCCAACACCAGUCUCCAAGAUUCCCUGUACUCCCUGUUCACCCACGACUGCGUGGCCACGCACGCCUCCAACUCAAUCAUCAACUUUACAGACGACCCGACAGUGGUAGGCUUGAUUACCAACAACGACGAGACGGCCUACAGGGAGGAGGUGAGGGCCCUCGGAGUGUGGUGUCAGGAAAAUAACCUCACACUCAACGUCAACAAAACUAAGGAGAUGAUUGUGGACUUCAGGAAACAGCAGAGGGAACACCCCCCUAUCCACAUCGAUGGAACAGUAGUGGAGAGGGUCGCAAGUUUUAAGUUCCUCGGCAUACACAUCACAGACAAACUGAAUUGGUCCACCCACACGGACAGCAUCGUGAAGAAGGCGCAGCAGCGCCUCUUCAACCUCAGGAGGCUGAAGAAAUUCGGCUUGUCACCAAAAGCACUCACAAACUUCUACAGAUGCACAAUCGAGAGCAUCCUGGCAGGCUGUAUCACCGCCUGGUACGGCAACUGCUCCGCCCACAACCGUAAGGCUCUCCAGAGGGUAGUGAGGUCUGCACAACGCAUCACCGGGGGAAAACUACCUGCCCUCCAGGACACCUACACCACCUGAUGUCACAGGAAGGCCAUAAAGAUCAUCAAGGACAACAACCACCCGAGCCACUGCCUGUUCACCCCGCUAUCAUCCAGAAGGCGAGGUCAGUACAGGUACAUCAAAGCUGGGACCGAGAGACUGAAAAACAGCUUCUAUCUCAAGGCCAUCGGACUGUUAAACAGCCACCACUAACAUUGAGUGGCUGCUGCCAACACACUGACUCAACUCCAGCCACUUUAAUAAUGGGAAUUGAUGGGAAAUGAUGUAAAAUAUAUCACUAGCCACUUUAAACAAUGCUACCUAAUAUAAUGUUUACAUACCCUACAUUAUUCAUCUCAUAUGUACACAUAUAUACUGUACUCUAUAUCAUCUACUGCAUCUUUAUGUAAUACAUGUAUCACUAGCCACUUUAACUAUGCCACUUUGUUUACAUACUCAUCUCAUAUGUAUAUACUGUACUCGAUACCAUCUACUGUAUCUUGCCUAUGCCGCUCUGUACCAUCACUCAUUCAUAUAUCUUUAUGUACAUAUUCUUUAUCCCCUUACACUUGUGUGUAUAAGACAGUAGUUUUGGAAUUGUUAGUUAGAUUACUUGUUGGUUAUUACUGCAUUGUCGGAACUAGAAGCACAAGCAUUUCGCUACACUCGCACUAACAUCUGCUAACCAUGUGUAUGUGACAAAUAAAAUUUGAUUAGAUUUGAAGAUUGUCAGGCAGACAUUCUGACCUACCUUCAAAGAGACCAGAAGGUCCUUCAUAUACUUGCAGCCUGUAAGUUUAAAUUGUGGACAGGCAUAGGGAGAUUGAUGGGGAAAUUAGAUGACAGCAUUUGUAAACCUUUAAUGAAAGGAACGGCAUUCCAAAAGCUAUUUUGCAUAACUAAACAAUCCAAUACAUUUUAAAUUAAUGUUUCUGAAGAUGUAGGCAUCAACCAGGGAUUGGGUAUUGAUUAAUGUAAAUGGCUAUAUAGUAUACACAAUAAAUUGUGUGUGAUGCCAUUGCCAUUGUGUCCUCAUAUUCAAAAAACAAAUGAUUUCUAUCUAACAGGUUAGGACCAACAUGGUUGAGGACCUGUUCCAGGCCUGAGGUGACCAGACCCUAACCAUUUAUGUUGGCUAUUGGGGACUGCUCACAGGGGUUUACAGUCAUUAGUGGACAUGCAUUGAAGCAAGGUGCAUUGCUUGGGGUGCUGGAUGCGUGCUUCAUGUCCUAUUAGGUGUUUGAUAUCAACUUUCCUACAAACCACAGUGUAUCAGCUGCCAGGAACAGAAUCCCCCGCAGCAAGACUGUUGCAAGCAUGUCUUUUUUCCACUGAACAAUAGUGGAUCCGUAUCAGCUCUUGUGUGUAGUGUGAGAAGUGACGGGAGGAAGCCCAGUCCUCCUCCGGCUAAUGUGUUUGUACUCCUGUGAAUUAAUAGAUCAAUGAGCCAUGAGUUUCAGAGGGGUUGGGUUAAAUGCGUAAGACACAUUUUGGUUGAAUAUAUUCAGUUGUGCAACAGACUAGGUAUCGACUUUCCCCUUCAUAUUACAAUGCUAAUAUGCUCUGAAAGCAGUAUUUAUAGCUCUGUUUUAAUGCAUUUGUGGCUGCUUUUUGCCUACUGUAAAGUAUGUGCUUGUUUGCUUUAAGUUCAAGUAUUGCUGCAUAUCUUACUUUAUUAUUAUCUAAAUAUUUCAUAGUUUUGAUGUCUUCACCAUUAUUCUACAAUGUAGAAAAUUGUAAAAAUAAAGAAAAACC